rfam:Arabidopsis thaliana chromosome 3, complete sequence.
UGAUGCGAUCAUACCAGCACUAAUGCACUUGAUCCUAUCAGAACACCACAGUUAAGCGUGCUUGUGGGAGAGUAGUACUAGGAUGGGUGACCUCCAGAAAAGUCUUCGUGUUGCAUCCC